rnacentral:misc_RNA from 1 species
GAUGAAGAACGUAGCGAAAUGCGAUAAAUAAUGUGAAUUGCAGAAUUCAGUGAAUCAUCGAAUCUUUGAACGCACAUUGCGCCCCUUGGUAUUCCGGGGGGCAUGCCUCUUCCAGCGUCAUUUCACCCCUCAAGCUCUGCUUGGUUUUGGGCCGCGCCGGCAACGGCGGGCCUCGAAAAUAGUGGCGACGCCAUCGUGCUCUCAGCGUAGUAAUUCUUCUCGCUGUUGGGUCCCGGUGGUCGUCCGCCAGCAACCCCCAACUUUCUUAAGUUUGACCUGGGAUGAGGUAGGGAUACCCGCUGAACUUAAGCAUAUCAAUAAGCGGAGGA